UCACGAUGAUGAAUGGUCCACACAUUCGCGGUUUCCACCAGAAUUCCCGAUGUUGGCAGCUAGAUUCCUUCCUUGGAUGUCUGAGUGA
ensembl:snoRNA SNORD14 Small nucleolar RNA SNORD14